rnacentral:lncRNA from 1 species
CGGCCGCUGGCCGGCAGCAACCUGCAAGUGCUUUGUUUCAGGUGUAGUAGGGGAAGGAAUUAGGUAGGAACAAAAAAGAUCUAGCUGUGUGUAUUGCCUCUCCAUGCCGGACGAGGCAUGCUUAGCUUUCACGAUACAGUGAUCAAGCUUUUAAUAAAUCCUUGCGUAUAUAGAUUUCAGUAUUAUUUCAGCACAUGCUUCAUCUUUCAGAAGUCUGUUCUGACUUUGAGAUGUCUAUCAACCUGUCCAGCAUAAAGUCAUUCCGCCUAUUAAUCAAUUCAAAGAAUUAGAAUGGUCAUACUUAUGAUUGACAUCUAAUGGACAUUGUUCCUGUACUAUGCUUAUACUCCUAUGCAUAGCAUGGACAAUCCUGCAUAUGCAGUAAUGUGCUAUUUAUAAAAUCUUGCUUUAUGUAAAAUUCAAAUAUCUGUGCAAUUUUCUAU